rnacentral:tRNA from 1 species
CACCAAGAAGCUUCUACAGCACUAGCCUUUUAAGCUAGAGACGGGGACUAAAAUACCCCCUUGAUGA